CACACCGAACUCUGGGAACGAUGCUAAUUAAUACUACAUGCACACACUGUUAUUAGUUCCAGAGCAAUUUCUAGCCCUUACCUUAUGCAGUAAUUCAGCACACCCCUCCUCUGUCAAUUACAUUUUCUUCUUGUCAUUAUAAUCCAAAUGUGCUCUGACUGAGCAACACAGCGUCAAGUUACUUUUUAACGUGUUCCCGAAAACCUGAAGUAACCAUCCACAAGUUAAAAGUAGCAGGGGUGCCAGUUACACACCUAGCAUCCAGGAAUUGUUGAGUGGAGGGUGGAGAGACCAACUCUCAAACUCUCAAGGAAGAAGUUGUUGUCCUCAUCGGUCAGAUGCAAGCUAUCCCUACUUCUACCGAAGAUGUUCAUCAAGACCUCAGUUGUUCAUCAAGACCUCAGUUGUUCAUCAAGACUUCAGCUGUUUAUCAAGACUUCAGCUGUUCAUCAAGACCUCAGCUGUUCAUCAAGACCUCAGCUGUUCAUCAAGACUUCAGCUGUUAAUCAAGACUUCAGCUGUUCAUCAAGACUUCAGCUGUUCAUCAAUACCUUGAAUAGCAGAAUCAGUUGGGGAAGAACUGGGCUCGAACAAGAAAGGUUGCAUAACCUUCAAGAGCAAUUGUGGCCAUCCUUGAAUUGUAUGUACAAAGUUAACUAUAUCUGAUGAAUGUACACUUGAUUGUACAGUUUAUAUUUUGUAAUAACUCACUAUUGUUUCCAGGUAUUGUAGUACUAGGCCUUUCUUCAGUACACUUUAAAGUACAUUUUCAUGUAAAUAGUUAAUGAGUACAUGUUGAUUGUUUUCGUAUUUUCCAGGAGCCACAUUGGCUUAAACACAUUACUGGUUUUCACUACCCUCUGGA